CACUCUCCCCUGCAGCCUCAGCUCGCCCCACCACCAGAACAAUGCUCUGGGUGGCAGGCUGUGAGCUCCUGGAGCAGCGCAGUUGCAGAGCCUGGUCUGACCUGGUGCUCUGUGCUGUGCAGUGGCAACGGCGUGGCUGGCUCCAGGCGGGCCAGCCACCAGUGCUCCAGGCAGCAUGCAAAUGCACAAGCUAUCACAUAGCUGUAAAAACAGAUGCUUCAACCCAUCACGGUCACAAACUCUGGCCAGGAGAUUUAGUAGCAACGCAUUCUCUGGAAAUGGUCUCAUGCCCUCAGUUUGUAUGUAGACAUCUGCUCAAGCAAAGACCCAUCAAGUUCUUCUCAGAAAGUUGAAAUUUAUGGAAUUUCCCCAUCUCUACCUGACAAACUGCACAAGCAAGAUACAUAGGCGUACUCGCCACACACCAUUUAGUGUUGUGACACUCCACAUGGGAUUGAAUCCACACAGGAAAGCCAGGCAAGGUAUGGAACAUGCUCAUGGAAUGUGUAGCAUUCUUUUCUAAUUUGUAUACAACCUAGUUGUGGAAAAUAGG